AUGAAGCCCAGCUCGCCUGAGUUUUGUCCUCUCCUCUUCUUACAUCAUGUCCUGUACUACUCGUCUACCACCUUUUCCAGCAAUUACCGGUCCCUGGGCUCAGUCCAGGCACCCAGCUACAGUGUCCGGCCCACCAGUAGCGCAGCCAGCGUCUAUGCAGGUGCCGGGGGCUCCGGCUCCUGGAUCUCCAUGUCCCACUCCACGAGCUUCCGGGGCGGCUGGGGGCCUGGCCACGGGGAUGGCCGGGGGGCUGGCGGGAAUAGGGGGCAUCCAGACCAAGAAGGAGACCAUGCAAGAACUGAAUGACUGCCUGGCCUCCUACCUGGACAGAGGAACCUGGAGACCAAUAAUCGGAGGCUGGAGAGCAAAAUCCUUGAACCCCUGGAGAAGAAGAGGCCCCAGGUCAGAGACUGGGUGCAUUACUUCAAGACCAUCGAGGACCUGAGGGCUUAGAUCUUCGCAAAUUCUGUGGACAAUGCUCGCGUCGUUCUGCAGAUUGGCAACGCCCGUCUUGCUGCUGAUGACUUUAGAGUCAAGUAUGAGACAGAACUGGCCAUGUGCCAAUCUGUGGAGAGUGACAUCCAUGGGCACCGAAAGGUCAUUGAUGACACCAAUAUCACUCGACUGCAGUUGGAGUCAGAGAUCGAGGCUCUCAAGGAGGAGCUCCUCUUCAUGAAGAAGAACCACGAGGAGGAAGAAAAAGUCCUACAAGCCCAGAUUGCCAGCUCUGGGUUGACUGUGGAGGUAGAUGCUCCCAAAUCCCAGGACCUGAGCAAGAUCAUGGCAGACAUGCAGGCCCAGUAUGAUGAGCUGGCUCAGAAGAAGAGCUGGCCCAAUAUGAUGAGCUGGCAAAAAGAGCUGGUCAAGACCUGAUCUCAGCAGAUUGAGGAGAGCACCUCAGUGGUCACCUCACAGUUUGCUGAAGUUGGAGCUCCUAAGACAAUGCUCACAGAGCUGAUGCGUACAGUCCAGUCCUUGGAGAUUGAACUGGACUCUAUGAGAAAUCAGAAGUCCAGGCUCCAUGGAGGAUAGCCUGAGGGAGGUGGAGGCCCACUACACCAUGCAACUCAAUGAGGUCCUGCUGCAUUUGGAGUCAGAGCUGGCACAGACCUGGGGAGAGGGGCAGCGCCAGGCCCAGGAGUAUGAGGCACUGCUGAACAUCAAGGUCAAGCUAGAGGCUGAGAUUGCCACCUACCACCGUCUGCUGGAAGAUGGGGAGGACUUCAACCUUGGUGAUGCCCUGGACAGCAGCAAUUCCAUGCAAACCAUCCAAAAGACCACCACCCGCAGGAUAGUAGACGGCAACGUGGUGUCUGAGACCAAUGACACCAAAGUUCUGAGACAUUGA